rnacentral:rRNA from 1 species
CCAUGCAGUCGAACGGUAACAGGGAGCUUGCUCCGCUGACGAGUGGCGAACGGGUGAGUAAUAUAUCGGAACGUACCUUUGAGUGGGGGAUAACUAGUCGAAAGAUUAGCUAAUACCGCAUACGAUCUACGGAUGAAAGUGGGGGACCUGUAAGGGCCUCGUGCUCAUAGAGCGGCCGAUAUCUGAUUAGCUAGUUGGUGAGGUAAAGGCUCACCAGGGCUUCGAUCAGUAGCUGGUCUGAGAGGACGACCAGCCACACUGGGACUGAGACACGGCCCAGACUCCUACGGGAGGCAGCAGUGGGGAAUUUUGGACAAUGGGGGCAACCCUGAUCCAGCAAUGCCGCGUGAGUGAAGAAGGCCUUCGGGUUGUAAAGCUCUUUUGUCAGGGAAGAAACGGGGGAUCCUAAUACGGUCCCCUAAUGACGGUACCUGAAGAAUAAGCACCGGCUAACUACGUGCCAGCAGCCGCGGUAAUACGUAGGGUGCAAGCGUUAAUCGGAAUUACUGGGCGUAAAGCGUGCGCAGGCGGUUAUGUAAGACAGGUGUGAAAUCCCCGGGCUUAACCUGGGAAUGGCAUUUGUGACUGCGUGGCUAGAGUGUGUCAGAGGGGGGUAGAAUUCCACGUGUAGCAGUGAAAUGCGUAGAGAUGUGGAGGAAUACCGAUGGCGAAGGCAG